UACGUAGGGGGCAAGCGUUGUCCGGAAUCAUUGGGCGUAAAGAGCGUGUAGGCGGCCCGGUAAGUCCGCUGUGAAAGUCCAGGGCUCAACCCUGGGAUGCCGGUGGAUACUGUCGGGCUCGAGUCCGGAAGAGGAGUGUGGAAUUCCUGGUGUAGCGGUGAAAUGCGUAGAUAUCUGGAGGAACACCGGUGGCGAAGGCGGCAUCCUGGACCAACACUGACGCUGAUGAGCGAAAGCCAGGGGAGCAAACGGG
rnacentral:rRNA from 1 species